rnacentral:rRNA from 1 species
GAUGAACGCUGGCGGCGUGCUUAACACAUGCAAGUCGAACGAAGCACUUAAUUUGAUUUCCUUCGGGACUGAUUAUUUUGUGACUGAGUGGCGGACGGGUGAGUAACGCGUGGGUAACCUGCCUUGUACAGGGGGAUAACAGUUGGAAACGGCUGCUAAUACCGCAUAAGCGCACGGCAUCGCAUGAUGCAGUGUGAAAAACUCCGGUGGUAUAAGAUGGACCCGCGUUGGAUUAGCUAGUUGGUGAGGUAACGGCCCACCAAGGCGACGAUCCAUAGCCGACCUGAGAGGGUGACCGGCCACAUUGGGACUGAGACACGGCCCAAACUCCUACGGGAGGCAGCAGUGGGGAAUAUUGCACAAUGGGCGAAAGCCUGAUGCAGCGACGCCGCGUGAGCGAAGAAGUAUUUCGGUAUGUAAAGCUCUAUCAGCAGGGAAGAUAAUGACGGUACCUGACGAAGAAGCACCGGCUAAAUACGUG